UACAGAGGUCUCAAGCGUUGUUCGGAUUCAUUGGGCGUAAAGGGUGCGUAGGUGGUGAUGCAAGUCUGGUGUGAAAUCUCGGAGCUUAACUCCGAAAUUGCACCGGAUACUGCGUUGCUCGAGGACUGUAGAGGAGAUCGGAAUUCACGGUGUAGCAGUGAAAUGCGUAGAUAUCGUGAGGAAGACCAGUGGCGAAGGCGGGUCUCUGGACAGUUCCCGACGCUGAGGCACGAAGGCCAGGGGAGCAAACGGG
rnacentral:rRNA from 1 species